rnacentral:tRNA from 1 species
GAGGUUGUGGCUCAGCAGUACAGCGUUCGCCUAGCAUGUGAGAGGCCCUGGGUUCGAUCCUCAGCACCCCA